GCUCAGAGCGAACGCUGGCGGCAGGCUUAACACAUGCAAGUCGAACGCUCAUCUUCGGAUGGGAGUGGCAGACGGGUGAGUAACACGUGGGAACGUACCCUUCGGUUCGGAACAACUCUGGGAAACUGGAGCUAAUACCGGAUACGCCCUUUUGGGGAAAGGUUUACUGCCGAAGGAUCGGCCCGCGUCUGAUUAGCUAGUUGGUGGGGUAACGGCCUACCAAGGCGACGAUCAGUAGCUGGUCUGAGAGGAUGAUCAGCCACAUUGGGACUGAGACACGGCCCAAACUCCUACGGGAGGCAGCAGUGGGGAAUAUUGGACAAUGGGCGCAAGCCUGAUCCAGCCAUGCCGCGUGAGUGAUGAAGGCCUUAGGGUUGUAAAGCUCUUUUGUCCGGGACGAUAAUGACGGUACCGAAG
rnacentral:rRNA from 1 species